rnacentral:rRNA from 1 species
UACGAAGGGGGCUAGCGUUGCUCGGAAUCACUGGGCGUAAAGCGCACGUAGGCGGAUUGUUAAGUCAGGGGUGAAAUCCUGGAGCUCAACUCCAGAACUGCCUUUGAUACUGGCGAUCUUGAGUCCGGGAGAGGUGAGUGGAACUGCGAGUGUAGAGGCGAAAUUCGUAGAUAUUCGCAAGAACCCCAGUGGCGAAGGCGGCUCACUGGCCCGGUACUGACGCUGAGGUGCGAAAGCGUGGGGAGCGAACAGG